UACGGAGGGUGCGAGCGUUGUCCGGAAUCACUGGGCGUAAAGGGCGCGUAGGCGGCUCAUGAAGGCUGUGGUGAAAGUCCGGGGCUCAACCUCGGAUCGGCCGUGGCGACUCGUGGGCUGGAGCACUGUAGAGGCGGGUGGAAUUCCGGGUGUAGCGGCGGAAUGCGUAGAGAUCCGGAAGAACACCAGUGGCGAAGGCGGCCCGCUGGGCAGUGGCUGACGCUGAAGCGCGACAGCGUGGGGAGCAAACAGG
rnacentral:rRNA from 1 species